GACGAACGCUGGCGGCGUGCCUAAUACAUGCAAGUCGAGCGCUGAAGGCGGGUACUGGUACCAACUGGAUGAUCAGCGAACGGGUGAGUAACGCGUGGUGAAUCUGCCUUUGAGCGGGGGACAACAUUUGGAAACGAAUGCUAAUACCGCAUAAAAACUUUAAACACAAGUGUUAAGUUUGAAAGAUGCAAUUGCAUCAGUCAAAGAUGAUCCCGCGUUGUAUUAGCUAGUUGGUGAGGUAAAGGCUCACGAAGGCGUGGAUACGUAACCGACCUGAGAGGGUACUCUGCCACACUGGGAUUGGUGCACGGCCCGAACCACUGCGGCUGGCAGCCGUACGGGAUCUUUGGCGAUGGCCGCAGGUCUGACCGUGCGACGCCGCGUGAGUGCAGAAGGUUUUCGGGUCGUGAGACUCUGUUAGUAGAGAAGAUCGUUGAUGAGAGUGGAAAGCUCAUAUAGUGACGGUAACUACCCAGAAAGCGCCGGCUAACUCCGUG
rnacentral:rRNA from 1 species